GAGUUUGAUCGUGGCUCAGAUUGAACGCUGGCGGCAGGCCUAACACAUGCAAGUCGAGCGGAUGAAGAGAGCUUGCUUUCUGAUUCAGCGGCGGACGGGUGAGUAAUGCCUAGGAAUCUGCCUGGUAGUGGGGGACAACGUUUCGAAAGGAACGCUAAUACCGCAUACGUCCUACGGGAGAAAGCAGGGGACCUUCGGGCCUUGCGCUAUCAGAUGAGCCUAGGUCGGAUUAGCUAGUAGGUGAGGUAAAGGCUCACCUAGGCGACGAUCCGUAACUGGUCUGAGAGGAUGAUCAGUCACACUGGAACUGAGACACGGUCCAGACUCCUACGGGAGGCAGCAGUGGGGAAUAUUGGACAAUGGGCGAAAGCCUGAUCCAGCCAUGCCGCGUGUGUUGAAGAAGGUCUUCGGAUUGUAAAGCACUUUAAGUUGGGAGGAAGGGCAGUAAGUUAAUACCUUGCUGUUUUGACGUUACCAACAGAAUAAGCACCGGCUAACUUCGUGCCAGCCGCC
rnacentral:rRNA from 1 species